rnacentral:lncRNA from 1 species
CCCAUACCUGGGAUCCCAUGUAGGUGGAGUCCUGUAUCCUCUGCCCUUCCGAGAAUUCCAUGUAGCAUACUAAUUUUAACAUUCACCCAUCUCUUAGUGUGUAUCAGAAUUUCAUUGCUGUUGUGGCCAAUGUUUAAUUGUAUGUAUGAAAAUACCAUAUUUUGUUUAUCCGCUCGUUUGUUGAUAGACAGGUAUUUCCAGAUUUUGACGGCUGUGAAUAAUGCUUCUGUGAACCGCUGUACAGAUACCUGUCUGAGUCCUUGUUUCCAGUUCUUAGAAUGUAUACCUGGGAGCGGAAAGACUGGGCCAUAUGGAGAUUCUAUAUUUAGGUUUUUUUCGGAACUGGCAUACUAUUUUCCACAACAGCUGCCGACUUCUCUCUCUGCGUCUCUGUCUGUCUCCCUCUCUUUCUCUCUCUCUCUCUCUCUCUCUCUCUCUGUCUAUGUGUCUCUCUAGUUCUCUCUCACAUCUCUGAGUUGCACAAGCUGGCUUUUAAACACCAUUCUAUUGUUUUUUAGUGCUAGACAUUGUAUACACGGGCUAAAUCACACACAGGCAUGUGCACAGAGUUUUAGACAAGUUCUCAUUAUGUAACCCAGGUUGGCUUCGAACUCAUAAUCCUCUUGCCUCAGCCCCCACUUGCUGAAAUUUCAGGUGUGCACCAUAAUGUUCCAGUAUAUGCCCCCAACUUUCCUGCAACAAAAAGAUUCCAGUUUUUUCACAUGUGCCCUAGCCUGGCCUUAACUUGACGAAUACC